rnacentral:rRNA from 1 species
GUGGGGAAUAUUGGACAAUGGGCGAAAGCCUGAUCCAGCCAUGCCGCGUGAGUGAUGAAGGCCCUAGGGUUGUAAAGCUCUUUUGUGCGGGAAGAUAAUGACGGUACCGCAAGAAUAAGCCCCGGCUAACUUCGUGCCAGCAGCCGCGGUAAUACGAAGGGGGCUAGCGUUGCUCGGAAUCACUGGGCGUAAAGGGUGCGUAGGCGGGUUUCUAAGUCAGAGGUGAAAGCCUGGAGCUCAACUCCAGAACUGCCUUUGAUACUGGAAGUCUUGAGUUCGGGAGAGGUGAGUGUAACUGCGAGUGUAGAGGUGAAAUUCGUAGAUAUUCGCAAGAACACCAGUGGCGAAGGCGGCUCACUGGCCCGAUACUGACGCUGAGGCACGGAAGCGUGGGGAGCAAACA